rnacentral:rRNA from 1 species
GACGAACGCUGGCGGCGUGCCUAAUACAUGCAAGUCGAGCGCUGAAGGGUGGUGCUUGUACCAACGGGAUGAGCAGCGGACGGGUGAGUAACGCGUGGAGAAUCUGCCUUUGAGCGGGGGACAACAUUGGGAAACGAAUGCUAAUACCGCAUAAUAACUUUAAACGCAAGGUUUAAGAGUGAAAGAUGGAAUUGCAUCAACCAAAAGUUGUACCGCGUCUUAUUUGGUAGGUGGGGAGGUAAAGGGCCAACAAGGGGAACGAUGCUAGCCCACCCGGGAGGGUGGUCGGCCACAUUGGGACUGGGACGCCGCCCCAACCCCCUCGGGAGGCCGCAGUAGGGAAUCCUUCGCCAAUGACCGAAGUCUGAACGAGCAAAGCCCGGUUAGUGAAGAAGGUUCUCGGGUCGUAAAACUCCUUUUGUAGGGAAGAAAGAUGGUUGGAGUGGACAGCUCAUCUAUUGACGGUAACUACCCAGAAAGCGACGGCUAACUACGUG